rnacentral:rRNA from 1 species
UUAAGUGAAGAAGGGCGCACGGUGGAUGCCUUGGCACUAGGAGCCGAUGAAGGACGGGACAAACACCGAUAUGUCUCGGGGAGCCGUACGUAGGCGUUGAUCCGGGAAUUUCCGAAUGGGGAAACCCCCUGCUCGUAAUGGAGCAGGACGCUUAUCUGAAUUCAUAGGAUAAGCGAGGCAGACCCGGGGAACUGAAACAUCUCAGUACCCGGAGGAAGAGAAAGCAAAUGCGAUUUCCCAAGUAGCGGCGAGCGAAACGGAAACAGCCCAAACCAGAGAGCUUGCUCUCUGGGGUUGUAGGACACUCCAUCGGAGUUACCAAGAAACAGUUUAAGCGAAUCGAUCUGGAACGAUCAGCCAAAGAAGGUAAGAGCCCUGUAACUGAAAGAUUGUUUCCUCCGGAGUGGAUCCUGAGUACGGCGGAACACGAGGAAUUCCGUCGGAAUCCGGGAGGACCAUCUCCCAAGGCUAAAUACUCCCUAGUGACCGAUAGUGAACCAGUACCGUGAGGGAAAGGUGAAAAGCACCCCGGGAGGGGAGUGAAAGAGAACCUGAAACCGUGUGCCUACAAGUAGUCGAAGCCCGUUAAUGGGUGACGGCGUGCCUUUUGUAGAAUGAACCGGCGAGUUACGAUCUCCUGCAAGGUUAAGUUGAACAGACGGAGCCGCAGCGAAAGCGAGUCUGAACAGGGCGAUUUGAGUAGGGGGUCGUAGACCCGAAACCGUGUGAUCUACCCAUGUCCAGGGUGAAGGUCAGGUAACACUGACUGGAGGCCCGAACCCACGCGUGUUGAAAAACGCGGGGAUGAGGUGUGGGUAGGGGUGAAAUGCCAAUCGAACACGGAGAUAGCUGGUUCUCUCCGAAAUAGCUUUAGGGCUAGCCUCAAGAGUUGAGUACUGGAGGUAGAGCACUGAUUGGACUAGGGGCCCUCAUCGGGUUACCGAAUUCAGUCAAACUCCGAAUGCCAGCCACUCGAUCUUGGGAGUCAGACUAUGGGUGAUAAGGUUCAUAGUCGAAAGGGAAACAGCCCAGACCGCCAGCUAAGGUCCCAAAGUAUACGUUAAGUGGAAAAGGAUGUGGAGUUGCUUAGACAACCAGGAUGUUGGCUUAGAAGCAGCCAUCAUUUAAAGAGUGCGUAAUAGCUCACUGGUCGAGUGACUCUGCGCCGAAAAUAUACCGGNUUGCAUUAUGGGCUUGUAGGGGAAUGACUUAUGACGCGAGCAUCUAGCCCGCAGAGCUGGAUUUCGAAAAAAACGUGUCAAUGUUCGUUGAUUGUCUUUCCUCUUAUCUAGUUUUGAAGGUACAUUUUCUAAAAAGCACCUAAAGGAAGUUCUGUUAAGACCGUUCACGUCCUGUGAACAACACAGAACGACCUGCAUCCUGCAGGUCUGGUGGCAAUAGCGGAGAGGUCACACCUGUUCCCAUGCCGAACACAGAAGUUAAGCUCUCCAGCGCCCAUGGUAGUUGGGGCUUUGCCCCUGCGAGAGUAGGACGCCGCCAGGCANAGCCGCAGUGAAUAGGCCCAAGCGACUGUUUAGCAAAAACACAGGUCUCUGCGAAGCCGUAAGGCGAAGUAUAGGGGCUGACACCUGCCCGGUGCUGGAAGGUUAAGGGGACGCGUUAGCCCUCGUGGCGAAGCGUUGAACCGAAGCCCCAGUAAACGGCGGCCGUAACUAUAACGGUCCUAAGGUAGCGAAAUUCCUUGUCGGGUAAGUUCCGACCCGCACGAAAGGUGCAACGACUUGGGCACUGUCUCAACGAGAGACCCGGUGAAAUUAUACUAUGCGUGAAGAUGCGCAUUACCCGCGACAGGACGGAAAGACCCCGUGGAGCUUUACUGUAGCCUGAUAUUGAAUGUUGGUACAGCUUGUACAGGAUAGGUGGGAGCCUUAGAAACCGGAGCGCUAGCUUCGGUGGAGGCGCCGGUGGGAUACCACCCUGGCUGUACGGACCUUCUAACCCAGGACCGUGAUCCGGUCCGGAGACAGUGUCAGGUGGGCAGUUUGACUGGGGCGGUCGCCUCCCAAAGAGUAACGGAGGCGCCCAAAGGUUCCCUCAGAAUGGUUGGAAAUCAUUCGCAGAGUGUAAAGGCAGAAGGGAGCUUGACUGCGAGACCUACAAGUCGAGCAGGGACGAAAGUCGGGCUUAGUGAUCCGGCGGUGCCGUAUGGAAGGGCCGUCGCUCAACGGAUAAAAGCUACCCCGGGGAUAACAGGCUUAUCUCCCCCAAGAGUCCACAUCGACGGGGAGGUUUGGCACCUCGAUGUCGGCUCAUCGCAUCCUGGGGCUGUAGUCGGUCCCAAGGGUUGGGCUGUUCGCCCAUUAAAGCGGUACGCGAGCUGGGUUCAGAACGUCGUGAGACAGUUCGGUCCCUAUCCGUCGUGGGCGUUGGAAGUUUGAGAGGAGCUGUCCUUAGUACGAGAGGACCGGGAUGGACACACCGCUGGUGUACCAGUUGUUCCGCCAGGAGCAUAGCUGGGUAGCUACGUGUGGAAGGGAUAAGUGCUGAAAGCAUCUAAGCAUGAAGCCCCCCUCUAGAUGAGACUUCCCAUCAUUUCAAAUGAGUAAGAUCCCUCAGAGACGAUGAGGUUGAUAGGUCCGAGGUGGAAGCGUGGUGACACGUGCAGCUGACGGAUACUAAUCGAUCGAGGACUUAACUUA